GACUUAUGGGGUAGCAUUGGAAAUGUAAAUGAAGAAAAUACCUAAAAAAAAAAAAUAGAAACAGCUUUAAAUUACAGGAUUCACAUUCGCUACUUUCGCCAUUUUGCCUAAAGGCAAUGUAGAACAAAUUUUCAUUUCAUUUCUGGCUUAUGAUAAGGGUUAAAAAUAAAAUUUUGCAGUGAUUUUUUUUCAACUGUUUAUUGUAUUUCAAUCUGAAAACACAUGUCAGUGGGAGAUGACUAAUAAUUUAGAACUCUGAGAAAAAAUGAAUAGGGAAUGAACUCUAAAGUUAGUUAACACUUACAAAUGGGCACUGAAUGUAAGUAUUUAAUAAUAAAUAAUAAAAUUAUUAUGAAAACUAUGAAAACUCAUUUAUAAAUUUUAUACCAAUAGAGACUUUAUUGUAUAAAUGACUAAGCUUUAAUAUAAAGCCCUCUGAAUUUAACUAAGAUAGUUUAGAUUUAUGGUGUUUCCUUUUAAAGCCUUACAUAGCAAUUAAAGCUAAGCAAUGACUGCAUAAUAAGUAUCCAACCAUACUUCAAAUCCUUUCAGUGAACUAAUGAAAAAUUCAUGCUGUUUUAUAAUAGAGCAGAGCUGAUGCAGAAGUCCCAAGGAUUGGCAAGGGAUGGUACUCUUAGUACUAUACAGGUAUUCAGAGUAAUAUGUCACUAUAACUACAACUAGACCACAUUGGUCAUUUCAGGAACAGAUUUAUUAUCUCUUCAAGAUAUAAAAUAAUUUAAAAUAUUACACAGUAAAAAUAUAGUUUGUACUUUAAGAAAUAAUUGGUCUUGGGCAUUAGUUUCCCAGUUAGCAUGUUUAUGGAAAGGGUUGAAACCUAUGAGGGAAAAAUGCUCUAAUGCAAUAAUUAUGUAAAAUAAUUAUACUAAUUAAAGAUUUCAGUUUAAUCUUCCUGGAGAAAAUAUAAAUUAAACAGUCAAUGAAAAAAAUCUCAACAUCAUUAUUCUUUUUAUUAAUAAUAGUCUCUAUUCAUCAUUUAUGCAUCUUAGGAAAUUGGUAAACUCUGGGUAAACUAUACAUUAUAUCUUUUAUUAAACUUAUGGACACUACAUUUCUGCAGAAGUUCAUAGCAGCAUCAAACAGAUUGUUUACCUCUGCUAGGUUGUUUACUUCUAUAAACCUGUAGCUAUUAAGAUGAAAAUAAAAUUGAGCAAUAAGAAUUAAUGAAGUAAAACCAUGUAAGUUAUAGUAGUGUAUUUAAACUACUUCCUUAUAUGAUUUCUUUCUCACAUAUUUAUAAAACAGACAAUAUGUAGAUUCCCUACAAAUAAUCAAGAGAUGUAAUUGAAGGCAUAUUUGUUUUAAAUAUAAGGAUUGUGGUACUUUUGAGAUUAAAUGAGACAUUAUAUAUGGAAUUCCUUCUGAUUGCACUCCUGAGUAUUUCUGGCUUCUCACAGAUCAAAUUUACAGUUGGGCAGAAUUCCUCUUGAAUAUUGUAAACACUCUGCUCACAUUUUGUCUCUUCCUUCAGUAUACUUUUUUGCAAGACAGAAGCAGAGGGAGUUACAUUUUUCUACUCAUAUUGGCAUUUAAAAUAUGACUGUGUUUCCCAAUUUUGAAAGGGAUCAAUUUAGGCAAUGAAACAGUAUAAUUAGGUCCAACUUUAUACUACAAAGGAUACAGGUAAAAGAAGCAUAUGGGAAAAUGCCCACCUUGUAUCUUGGGUCAGCGUGUACUGCACAUUAAUGUUUAAUGGUUUCUUUUUUUAUUUCGUUCAAUUUUAUCACUCAUGAACAUGAGCAAGUAAUUGCAGAAACUGGAGCCAGGCAGGCUUUUCCAUACACCUCUGCCAGUGCAGUGACCUGCAACACCCCUGGUAUUUCAUUCCUUGGCCUCUGCUAAGUGGAGUCUGCCAGUCAUUUUAAAUUGUGCCAAGCUGCAUAGUGGUUUUAUGAUGUGAAAAACAUCCAUUAACUUCUAGUUUGUGUCUCCAUACCACAUCACAUUAGUAGUAAACAAAGCCCAUUCCAGCUGCAGCCUUGAGAGCUGAGGAUUUAGAGAAAUAAACAACAAAAAGAAUAGAUGAAUUUUUUUAAAAAGACAAAAUAAAGCAUAAACAAUGAAAUGGCUUAACAAAUAAACCUUAAAAAUACAACAUCAUUCAGAUUUUCUUAGAAUUUUUUUUAAUAACAAUGUCCCUGAAAUGUCUUUAUUUUAAACUUCCUGAGAAGUUCAUUAGGAAGCGUUUAGGGUGGGGAGGGACGUGUUUCUAUACAAAGGCCUUUGCAACUUGUUUUCUAACAAGUGAAAAUAAGACUUCAUCAGAGAGCAACCCGACAGAAGGUACAUUUGUACCAAACUUAACUACUGGAUCCUCUCCAUCUACAUCCUGUUGAAUUUAGUUAAAAUGCUGAGGCUAAUAAAGGGGAAAAAUUCAAGGGAGCUUUCAUUGAGUGUCACCUCAUCAGGAAUACAUUGAGUAAAUUGCCACAAAUUUUCCAGUAAUACACAUUUCUUAUGUAUAAACAGAGGUGUGAUUAAACAAUAGAACAGACUAAUUAUUCUGGUAGUAAAUUUAUGAGCAUCCAUAGAGACUUAGGUUAAGAUAAUAUUUCAGUAAUUAUUUUAUGGUCUAAAAUAUUAUAAUAUAUGAAACAAGCAGACAUUUCAGUGUUGAUAAGAUCUCAGAGAAGACACUUUAUCAAUACACCGGUAUCAGAGGUGGUAACAAAAGAUAAUUGAGUGUUCUGGGUUUUGUAUUUUGUCCUCAUCAUACAAGAUUCAGAAGGAUGGAGGUGUUUUUGGCAGGCACAUUAAUUUAAACAGUCCUUAGGAGGGGUGUCCCAGCCUCACUGACUUCCACAUUGAGCACUGAUUGAAGACAACUGUAGGUAUUCAUUUAGUUUGCUUAACUGUUCUGAGUUAGUGAGUCUGAGAGUCUGAGCAUAAAGUUAAGCUCCACAUUGUGAUUAGCAUAAUUGCUGAUAGCCAUGCAUUGUGUUGUAAAACUGCAACCCCUCACUUAUUGAGCUUAUGUGGAGGAAUUGCUAGUAGUGUACAGCUAGUAUUGCAUAGUAAGCAGAAGGUUAACCUGCACUAAAUAGAACAACAAACUGUUUCAACAGUCCAGAAAAAUAUUAAUAUAAUGUUAUAUAUAAUAUUAAUAGUAUAAUAUAAUUAUAUUUAAAUAUAUCAAUAUAAUAUAUACAGUAUUAAUAUAAUAUAUUAUAUAUAUAAUCUGAUAUAUAUCCAUUGUUACUCAAGCAUAUAGUGAUGACUUUCACAGUAGGUAAGUUCCACCAAUCAAAGGAAUCCCUGAGCUAAAUUUGCUUGGACUGCUAAGACUGAUCAUUCCUUAUCAACAACUAGAGGUGAUACAGAAUAGCAAAAUGGAGGGUGGGAGGGAGAGAGAGAGAGAGAG
rnacentral:lncRNA from 1 species